rnacentral:rRNA from 1 species
GACGUAGGGGGCAAGCGUUGUCCGGAAUUAUUGGGCGUAAAGCGCUCGUAGGUGGAUCUGCAAGUCUGCGAAGAAAGACCCGGGCUCAACUCGGGGAACGGCGUGGAUACUGUUGAUCUUGAGACAGUCAGAGGAUGAUGGAAUUCCCGGUGUAGCGGUGAAAUGCGUAGAUAUUCGGAAGAACACCAGUGGCGAAGGCGACUACCUGGUCUGGCAUUGACGCUCAUGUGCGAAAGCGUGGGGAGCAAACAGG